GACGAACGCUGGCGGCGUGCUUAACACAUGCAAGUCGAACGGUGAAGCGCCUUCCUUUUUGGUGGGUGUGGAUGAGUGGCGAACGGGUGAGUAACACGUGAGUAACCUGCCCCCUUCUUCUGGAUAACCGCAUGAAAGUGUGGCUAAUACGGGAUAUUCUGGGUCUGUCGCAUGAUGGGUCUGGGAAAGAUAUUGUUUCGGUGGGGGAUGGGCUCGCGGCCUAUCAGCUUGUUGGUGGGGUGAUGGCCUACCAAGGCGGUGACGGGUAGCCGGCCUGAGAGGGUGGACGGUCACACUGGGACUGAGACACGGCCCAGACUCCGACGGGAGGCAGCAGUGGGGAAUAUUGCACAAUGGGCGCAAGCCUGAUGCAGCGACGCCGCGGGAGGGAUGGAGGCCUUCGGGUUGUGAACCUCUUUCGCCAGUGAAGCAGGCCUGCCUCGUUUGUGGGUGGGUUGACGGUAGCUGGAUAAGAAGCGCCGGCUAACUACGUG
rnacentral:rRNA from 1 species